rnacentral:rRNA from 1 species
GACGAACGCUGGCGGCGUGCCUAAUACAUGCAAGUCGACCUUAGUGGCGAACGGGUGAGUAACACGUGGGUAACCUGCCCAUCAGAAGGGGAUAACACUUGGAACCAGGUGCUAAUACCGUAUACUGAUGGAUGGACCCGCGGUGCAUGAGCUGGUUGGUCAGGUCACGGCUCACCAAGGCCACGAUGCAUAGCCGACCUGAGAGGGUGAUCGGCCACAUUGGGACUGAGACACGGCCCAAACUCCUACGUGAGGCAGCAGUAGGGAAUCUUCGGCAAUGGACGAAAGUCUGACCGAGCAACGCCGCGUGAGUGAAGAAGGUUUUCGGAUCGUAAAACUCUGUUGUUAGAGAAGCGGUAUCUAACCAGAAAGCCACGGCUAACUCCGUGCCAGCCGCCGCGGUAAUAC